UCUGGCAUAAUCCUGGGAAACUGGGUAUAAUUCCAGAUAGGUCACAGAUGCUGGAAUGCACUGUGGCCGAAAGCUCCGGCGCCCAAGGAUGGGUCUGCGGCCUAUCAGGGUUGUAGUGGGUGUAACGGACCUACUAGCCUACGACGGGUACGGGUUGUGAGAGCAAGAGCCCGGAGAUGGAUUCUGAGACACGAAUCCAGGCCCUACGGGGUGCAGCAGGCGCGAAAACUUUACAAUGCGGGAAACCGUGAUAAGGGAAUCUCGAGUGCCAGCAUAUAAUGUUGGCUGUCCAGAUGCCUAAAAAGCAUCUGUUAGCAAGGGCCGGGCAAGACCGGUGCCAGCCGCCGCGGUAACACCGGCGGCCCGAGUGGUAACCGCUUUUAUUGGGUCUAAAGGGUCUGUAGCCGGCCAAGUAAGUCCCUUGGGAAAUCUGGCAGCUUAACUGUCAGGCUGCUAGGGGAUACUGCUAGGCUUGGGACCGGGAGAGGUGAGAGGUACCUUGGGGGUAGGGGUGAAAUCUUGUGAUCCUCGGGGGACCACCAGUGGCGAAGGCGUCUCACCAGAACGGGUCCGACGGUAAGGGACGAAAGCUAGGGGCACGAACCGGAUUAGAUACCCGGGUAGUCCUAGCCGUAAACGAUGCUCGCUAGGUGUCAGUCACGGUGCGACCGUGAUUGGUGCCGUAGGGAAGCCGUGAAGCGAGCCACCUGGGAAGUAUGGCCGCAAGGCUGA
rnacentral:rRNA from 1 species